rnacentral:rRNA from 1 species
AUGAACGCUAGCGACAGGCUAACACAUGCAAGUCAGGGUAACAGGUAGCAAUACCGCUGACGACCGGCGCACGGGCGAGUAACGCGUAUGCAACCUGCCUAUAACUGGGGAAUAGCUCCCUGAAAGGGGAAUUAACACCGCAUAACACUAUUGAUUCGCAUGGAUUGGUAGUUAAAUGUAGCGAUACAGGUUAUAGAUGGGCAUGCGUGACAUUAGCUAGUUGGUGAGGUAACGGCUCACCAAGGCUACGAUGUCUAGGGGUUCUGAGAGGAAGGUCCCCCACACUGGUACUGAGACACGGACCAGACUCCUACGGGAGGCAGCAGUGAGGAAUAUUGGUCAAUGGGCGCAAGCCUGAACCAGCCAUGUCGCGUGCAGGAAGACUGCCCUAUGGGUUGUAAACUGCUUUUAUAGUAGAAGAAACACAUCUACGUGUAGAUGUCUGCCAGUAUACUAUGAAUAAGCAUCGGCUAACUCCGUGCCAGCAGCCGC